CCUACGGGGGGCAGCAGUGAGGAAUAUUGGUCAAUGGGCGCAAGCCUGAACCAGCCAUCCCGCGUGAAGGAUGACAGCCCUAUGGGUUGUAAACUUCUUUUCUGUACCAAGAAACAAUCCCUCGAGAGGGGUCUUGACGGUAGUACAGGAAUAAGGACCGGCUAACUCCGUGCCAGCAGCCGCGGUAAUACGGAGGGUCCAAGCGUUAUCCGGAUUUAUUGGGUUUAAAGGGUGCGUAGGCGGAUUUGUAAGUCAGUGGUGAAAUCCUGCAGCUUAACUGUAGAACUGCCAUUGAUACUGCUAAUCUUGAGUAUAGUUGAGGUAGGCGGAAUGAGUAGUGUAGCGGUGAAAUGCUUAGAUAUUACUCAGAACACCGAUUGCGAAGGCAGCUUGCCAAACUAUAACUGACGCUGAUGCACGAAAGCGUGGGGAUCGAACAGGAUUAGAUACCCGGGUAGUC
rnacentral:rRNA from 1 species